GUGUCAGCCGCCGCGGUAAUACGGAGGGGGCUAGCGUUGUUCGGAAUUACUGGGCGUAAAGGGGGCGUAGGCGGCCGUGAAAGUCCGGUGUGAAAACUCACGGCUCAACCGUGGGACUGCGCUGGAAACUACACGGCUUGAGGACGGUAGAGGGAGACGGAACUGCUGGUGUAGGGGUGAAAUCCGUAGAUAUCAGCAGGAACGCCGGUGGAGAAGUCGGUCUCCUGGGCCGUUCCUGACGCUGAGGCCCGAAAGCUAGGGGAGCAAACCGGAUUAGAUACCCGGGUAGUCCUAGCCGUAAACGAUGCCCACUAGGUGUGGGGGAGUAAUUCCUCCGUGCUGAAGCUAACGCCAUAAGUGGGCCGCCUGGGGAGUAUGCCCGCAAGGGUGAAACUCAAAUGAAUUGACGGGG
rnacentral:rRNA from 1 species